rnacentral:rRNA from 1 species
CACGUAGGGUGCGAGCGUUGUCCGGAAUUAUUGGGCGUAAAGAGCUCGUAGGCGGUUUGUCGCGUCUGCUGUGAAAAAUCCAGGGCUUAACCCUGGACCUGCAGUGGGUACGGGCAGACUGGAGUGCGGUAGGGGGAGAUCGGAAUUCCUGGUGUAGCGGUGAAAUGCGCAGAUAUCAGGAGGAACACCGGUGGCGAAGGCGGAUCUCUGGGCCGUAACUGACGCUGAGGAGCGAAAGCAUGGGGAGCGAACAGG